GAAAGGCCAAUCAAACCGGGAGAUAGCUGGUUCUCCCCGAAAGCUAUUUAGGUAGCGCCUCGUGAAUUCAUCUCCGGGGGUAGAGCACUGUUUCGGCAAGGGGGUCAUCCCGACUUACCAACCCGAUGCAAACUGCGAAUACCGGAGAAUGUUAUCACGGGAGACACACGGCGGGUGCUAACGUCCGUCGUGAAGAGGGAAACAACCCAGACCGCCAGCUAAGGUCCCAAAGUCAUGGUUAAGUGGGAAACGAUGUGGGAAGGCCCAGACAGCCAGGAUGUUGGCUUAGAAGCAGCCAUCAUUUAAAGAAAGCGUAAUAGCUCACUGGUCGAGUCGGCCUGCGCGGAAGAUGUAACGGGGCUAAACCAUGCACCGAAGCUGCGGCAGCGACGCUGAUGCGUUGUUGGGUAGGGGAGCGUUCUGUAAGCCUGUGAAGGUGUGCUGUGAGGCAUGCUGGAGGUAUCAGAAGUGCGAAUGCUGACAUAAGUAACGAUAAAGCGGGUGAAAAGCCCGCUCGCCGGAAGACCAAGGGUUCCUGUCCAACGUUAAUCGGGGCAGGGUGAGUCGACCCCUAAGGCGAGGCCGAAAGGCGUAGUCGAUGGGAAACAGGUUAAUAUUCCUGUACUUGGUGUUACUGCGAAGGGGGGACGGAGAAGGCUAUGUUGGCCGGGCGACGGUUGUCCCGGUUUAAGCG
rnacentral:rRNA from 1 species